rnacentral:misc_RNA from 1 species
CUGGGCACCGAGCGCCUCGCGCUCACCCCCACCCUUUGCUUCGCCCCGAAACGCACUCGGCGUCGUGGGCCCUCUUUUGGGGGCCCCUGCCGGAAUCCAACCCUGAACAACCUGCAGCCUGAAGUGAAAAGCAAACAGUUA